GAUGAAGAACGUAGCGAAAUGCGAUACUUGGUGUGAAUUGCAGAAUCCCGUGAACCAUCGAGUCUUUGAACGCAAGUUGCGCCCGAAGCCACUAGGCCGAGGGCACGCCUGCCUGGGCGUCACACGCCGUUGCCCCCCCAUCUACUCCUUCGGGAUUGCGGGGGGGCGGAUGAUGGCCUCCCGUGCGCCUAGCCGCGCGGUUGGCAUAAAUACCAAGUCCUCGGCGACGCACGCCACGACAAUCGGUGGUUGCGAAACCUCGGUUGCCCGUCGUGUGCGUUCGUCGCGCAUCGAGGGCUCGAAAAAAUGCUCGGCUCCGGCUGGGCUUUCAACGCGACCCCAGGUCAGGCGGGGUUACCCGCUGAAUUUAAGCAUAUCAAUAAGCGGAGAA
rnacentral:misc_RNA from 1 species